CGAGUCGCACGGACGGCCGCUGCUCGUCUCGCCUUCGGGUGGGGCGGGGAGAGGAAAGUCCGGGCUCCACAGGGCACGGUGGUGGGUAACGCCCACCGGCCGCAAGGCCAGAGCCAGUGCAACAGAGAACAGACCGCCUCGGCGCCGGCUCGUCCGGUGCCGCGGUAAGGGUGAAACGGUGCGGUAAGAGCGCACCAGCGGGGCGGGCAACCGUUCCGGCUUGGUAAACCUCACCGGGAGAAAGCCCGCAUAGGGAGGGAUGACGCGGCCCGCGUCGCUAGAACCUCCGGGUAGGGCGUUUGAGGCCGUCGGCGACGGCGGCCCUAGAGACAUGGUCGUCGCCGGCCGCCGUUCGCGGUGGUCGGACACAGAACCCGGCUUAUGGGCGGCUCGGAGU
rnacentral:RNase_P_RNA from 1 species